UACGUAGGGGGCAAGCGUUGUCCGGAAUCAUUGGGCGUAAAGCGCGUGUAGGCGGCUCGGUAAGUCUGCUGUGAAAGUCCAGGGCUCAACCCUGGGAUGCCGGUGGAUACUGUCGAGCUCGAGUCCGGAAGAGGCGAGUGGAAUUCCUGGUGUAGCGGUGAAAUGCGCAGAUAUCAGGAGGAACACCAAUGGCGAAGGCAACUCGCUGGGACGUGACUGACGCUGAGACGCGAAAGCGUGGGCAGCAAACAGG
rnacentral:rRNA from 1 species